rnacentral:rRNA from 1 species
AUACGGAGGGGGCUAGCGUUGUUCGGAAUUACUGGGCGUAAAGCGUACGUAGGCGGACUGAUCAGUUGGGGGUGAAAUCCCAGGGCUUAACCCUGGAACUGCCUUCAAUACUGUCAGUCUUGAGUUUGGGAGAGGUGAGUGGAAUUCCUAGUGUAGAGGUGAAAUUCAUAGAUAUUAGGAGGAACAUCCGUGGCGAAGGCGGCUCACUGGCCCAUUACUGACGCUGAGGUGCGAAAGCGUGGGGAGCAAACAGGAUUAGAAACCCUAGUAGUCC